GCGCGGUUAGCUCAGUUGGUAGAGCAUCUCGUUUACACCGAGAGGGUCGUAGGUUCGAGUCCUACACCGCGCA
rnacentral:tRNA from 1 species